rnacentral:rRNA from 1 species
AUUGAACGCUGGCGGCAGGCCUAACACAUGCAAGUCGAGCGGAUGAAGGGAGCUUGCUCCUGGAUUCAGCGGCGGACGGGUGAGUAAUGCCUAGGAAUCUGCCUGGUAGUGGGGGAUAACGUCCGGAAACGGGCGCUAAUACCGCAUACGUCCUGAGGGAGAAAGUGGGGGAUCUUCGGACCUCACGCUAUCAGAUGAGCCUAGGUCGGGUUAGCUAGUUGGUGGGGUAAAGGCCUACCAAGGCGACGAUCCGUAACUGGUCUGAGAGGAUGAUCAGUCACCCUUGAACUGGAACACGGGCCCUGGGCCUAAGGGAGGGCGCAGUUGGGAAUAGUGGGCAGUGGGGGGAAGCCUUGUCCAAGCGGGGCGAGUGUGUUGAAGAGGUCCUCCGAUUGGAAAGCCCUUUUAGGUGGGGGGAAGGGCAGUAAGGUUAAAACUUGCGGGUUUGACGGUACCAACAGAAGAAGCACCGGCUAACUUCGUG